rnacentral:lncRNA from 1 species
CGUGGACGAGGAGAAGGAACACCACGCCUAUGCUGAUGACAUAUUCCUGCAGCCGCAGCUGUCAUCCCAGUCCUCGAUCAUCGCUGCUCGAGGACCCAGUGCAAUGUGGACGCCUCGCACACGAAACCUCUGCGGAGAAGAAACUCCUGGAACGAGUCCGACAUCCCUGUUCCAACAAGCGUCCUCCUUGCUGCUGUGUCAAGCCAUCGACACCGUGCCUUGGACAUCGGCGACUGCCGUGAAGCAGACCGCCGAAACAAGGAAGAGUCUACAAUGAAUUUUAAUUUCACUGGCAGCGCUGGCACGUGCUACAAGACUUUGAACACAGUGCCCCAGCAAGUCAGAACAAUGGUGCAACGAACGAUAAUUUAGAAAUAUCUUAAUUUUUCUGCCAUUCGCUUGAGAUAGAAUAAAACCGACGUUUUGCAAAAUGUUUGCUCUUUUAAUUACUCUUUUAUGCACCAAAUUAAUAAUUCUGUAAUGAAAACUAUGUCGUACAAUUAAUUGGUAUAUUUAAUAAAACCAGAUUUAGGCGUC